rnacentral:rRNA from 1 species
UACAGAGGGUGCUAGCGUUGUUCGGAAUUAUUGGGCGUAAAGGGCGCGUAGGUGGUUUAGUAAGUCAGAAGUGAAAGCCUGGGGCUUAACUCCAGAAUGGCUUCUGAUACUGCUAGGCUUGAGUAUAGUAGAGGUAGGCGGAAUUCCUAGUGUAGAGGUGAAAUUCGUAGAUAUUAGGAAGAACACCGGUGGCGAAGGCGGCCUACUGGGCUAUUACUGACACUGAGGCGCGAAAGCGUGGGUAGCAAACAGG